CAGACCGGAGCAAUAACAUCGUGAAUGUAGCCUGCAAAUCAAAGAAUUAAACAUUAGAUAUCGAUUGUCCGCAACACAACAGCCGGACAACAGUUCCCUGAGCUGUUGCUGACAACGACCUGUGUCCGAUGUGUUGCAGUGCCCAGCAGAUGACCACAAGUGUCCCGAAGGGAUUGUAGGGGCGCUUCAGCCAAUUCCUUUCCACGACAAGCAAAGAUUCCGGUGAAGCUUUCCAAACCACUAGGCUCACAUAGGCCCACCCAAGGGUAUUGCAUCUGUGGAAGGAAGAUAGUCACGGAUUUCAUUCUUUCUAUAAAUCCUUUAUCACUGUGAAACCCCGUUAAUCCGGACGGAUUAGUCCUGGAACAAAGAAUCACGAAUAAAGUCCCUAAACAUUCAAAACAGUCAUCGUAUGGAUUCCGGGGUUUCCAGUUAGUAAGGGAUCCGGAAUGUACAGGUUUCAGUAUCUUAAAAUAUUAUUUUAAGGCAGUU